rnacentral:rRNA from 1 species
AUACGUAGGGGGCGAGCGUUGUCCGGAAUGAUUGGGCGUAAAGGGCGCGUAGGCGGCGCGGUAAGUCUGGAGUGAAAGUCCUGCUUUCAAGGUGGGAAUUGCUUUGGAUACUGCCGCGCUUGAGUGCAGGAGAGGUUAUCGGAAUUCCCGGUGUAGCGGUGAAAUGCGUAGAGAUCGGGAGGAACACCAGUGGCGAAGGCGGGUAACUGGACUGCAACUGACGCUGAGGCGCGAAAGUGUGGGGAGCAAACAGGAUUAGAUACCCUGGUAGUCCACACUGUAAACGAUGAAUUCUAGGUGUAAGAGGUAUCGACCCCUUUUGUGCCGGAGUCAACACAAUAAGCAUUCCGCCUGGGGAGUACGGCCGCAAGGUUGAAACUCAAAGGAAUUGACGGGG